rnacentral:rRNA from 1 species
CCCUAUGGGGCGCAGCAGGUUCUGGGAAUGAUAAACACGACUGAAGACGCGCUCGUAUUUGCACGGGGAAACGUUGAAAGGAAGGAUUAGUGUGUUUGCACAUCUGAAUGAUCUUGACAUGCAUUAUGAGAUUCGCGGGAGUGGAAAACCAAUUUUCCUCUUGCACGGUUUGGCUUUGGACCACAGCAUUUGGCUGGAGAUGGCGGAUUACUUUGGAGACCAGGCCCAGUUUAUUAUCCCUGACCUGCGGGGUCACGGCUGCACACCGUUAGGGAAUGCGGACAGCACACUGGAACAACUUGCCAAGGACGUGCUCUUACUAGCUGACCAUCUUGGUUACGAGAAAUUCACCCUGGCAGGUCACUCGAUGGGCGGGUACAUCGCGCUUGCCCUGGCAGAGAUGCAUCCUGAGCGCCUGGCGGGGGAGC